rnacentral:rRNA from 1 species
UACGUAGGGUGCGAGCGUUGUCCGGAAUUACUGGGCGUAAAGAGCUCGUAGGUGGUUUGUCACGUCGGGAGUGAAAACUCAGGGCUCAACCCUGAGCGUGCUUCCGAUACGGGCAGACUAGAGGUAUGCAGGGGGAGAACGGAAUUCCUGGUGUAGCGGUGGAAUGCGCAGAUAUCAGGAGGAACACCGGUGGCGAAGGCGGUUCUCUGGGCAUUACCUGACGCUGAGGAGCGAAAGCAUGGGGAGCGAACAGG